rnacentral:rRNA from 1 species
AUUGAACGCUGGCGGCAGGCUUAACACAUGCAAGUCGAGCGGGGGAAGGUAGCUUGCUACCGGACCUAGCGGCGGACGGGUGAGUAAUGCUUAGGAAUCUGCCUAUUAGUGGGGGACAACAUCUCGAAAGGGAUGCUAAUACCGCAUACGUCCUACGGGAGAAAGCAGGGGAUCACUUGUGACCUUGUGCUAAUAGAUGAGCCUAAGUCGGAUUAGCUAGUUGGUGGGGUAAAGGCCUACCAAGGCGACGAUCUGUAGCGGGUCUGAGAGGAUGAUCCGCCACACUGGGACUGAGACACGGCCCAGACUCCUACGGGAGGCAGCAGUGGGGAAUAUUGGACAAUGGGGGGAACCCUGAUCCAGCCAUGCCGCGUGUGUGAAGAAGGCCUUAUGGUUGUAAAGCACUUUAAGCGAGGAGGAGGCUUACCUAGUUAAUACCUGGGAUAAGUGGACGUUACUCGCAGAAUAAGCACCGGCUAACUCUGUGCCAGCAGCCGCAGUAA